rnacentral:rRNA from 1 species
UCGAGGGGCAGCACGUCUUCGGAUGGUGGCGACCGGCAAACGGGUGCGGAACACGUACACAACCUUCCUUUUGGUGGGGGAUAGCCCUUGGAAACGAGGAUUAAUACCCCAUAAUACAGGGGCCCCGCAUGGGGAUAUUGUUAAAGAUUUAUUGCCAGAAGAUGGGUGUGCGUAUGAUUAGGUAGUUGGCGGGGUAACGGCCCACCAAGCCUACGAUCAUUAACUGGUGUGAGAGCACGACCAGUCACACGGGCACUGAGACACGGGCCCGACUCCUACGGGAGGCAGCAGUAAGGAAUAUUGGUCAAUGGGCGAAAGCCUGAACCAGCCAUGCCGCGUGGAGGAUGAAGGUCCUCUGGAUUGUAAACUUCUUUUAUCAGGGGCGAAAAAAGGCCAUUCUUGGUCGUCUGACGGUACCUGAUGAAUAAGCACCGGCUAACUCCGUGCCAGCAGCCGCGGUAAUACGGAGGGUGCAAGCGUUAUCCGGAUUCACUGGGUUUAAAGGGAGCGCAGGCGGGUUAGUAAGUCAGUGGUGAAAUCUUUCGGCUUAACCGGGAAACUGCCAUUGAUACUAUUAGCCUUGAAUGUUGUGGAGGUUUGCGGAAUAGGUCAUGUAGCGGUGAAAUGCAUAGAUAUGACCUGGAACACCUAUUGCGAAGGCAGCAGGCUACACAAAUAUUGACGCUGAGGCUCGAAAGCGUGGGGAUCAAACAGGAUUAGAUACCCUGGUAGUCCACGCCCUAAACGAUGAUUACUCGACAUUGGCGAUACACAGUCAGUGUCUGAGCGAAAGCAUUAAGUAAUCCACCUGGGAAGUACGACCGCAAGGUUGCUGUCG